UACAGAGGGGGCAAGCGUUGUUCGGAAUUACUGGGCGUAAAGGGCGCGUAGGCGGCCUGUUAAGUCGAACGUGAAAUCCCCGGGCUCAACCCGGGAACUGCGUCCGAUACUGGCAGGCUUGAAUCCGGGAGAGGGAUGCGGAAUUCCAGGUGUAGCGGUGAAAUGCGUAGAUAUUCGCAAGAACACCAGUGGCGAAGGCGGCUUACUGGUCCGGUUCUGACGCUGACGGCGCGAAAGCGUGGGGAG
rnacentral:rRNA from 1 species